rnacentral:rRNA from 1 species
UACGUAGGGGCCUAGCGUUGUCCGGAUUUAUUGGGCGUAAAGAGCUCGUAGGCGGCUUGUCAAGUCACUUGUGAAAUCUCUGGGCUUAACCCAGAACGGCCAAGUGAAACUGACAUGCUAGAGUGCAGAAGGGGCAAUCGGAAUUCUUGGUGUAGCGGUGAAAUGCGUAGAUAUCAAGAGGAACACCUGAGGUGAAGACGGGUUGCUGGGCUGACACUGACGCUGAGGCGCGAAAGCCAGGGGAGCAAACGGG